AAUUCUGAUUUAAUAACUGUUGGUUUAUUUAUCGGUGCAGCAGCAGAACAUUUUCCACAGACAGUUUUCCUGCCCGUUGGCUUGUUUUAACCAGUUUUCUACCUUCGGCUGAUUCUACCACCAGACACUAAAAGGACUCUGAUAGUUCGAGGGAAAGUAGCAGUUCCUCCUUAAGGUCAGAGAUUGCAGCAUCUGAGGGCCUCUUCAAAAGAAGACGUAGUUGAUGAAGGCGUUCUGGAGCAGGACCAGAAAGACCACGACCAAGCAGCCUUGAGAUCUUAGGCAGCGUCUCCCUCAGGUCCCUCUCUAUCUCCCCACACAUCCACCAACCACUGGACCACAUCUCCAAAGUUCUGCAGGGCCAGCUCAGCUUCCCCUCAGAAGAAGUGCCGCCACCUGCCAGAUGAAGGAGCCUUUUGAGAGGCAGCUGGCAUCGUGAUUGGACUGUACUUUGGUCUGUUCCAAUCCAGCUUCAGCUCCAGAGACGGCAGGCGGGACGAGUCAACGGAGGCCGGGUGGACGAAGGCAUGCAGUUGAGUACAAUCCAGAAAACAACAGAGGAGGAGUGCAGUGGCCCAGGGCCAGAACAAAC